rnacentral:tRNA from 1 species
UCCCUGGUGGCUCAGAGGUUAAAGCGUCUGCCUGCAAUGUAGGAGGCCUGGGUUCGAACCCUGGGUUGGGAG